AUCCAGCUGAGGAGUCCUAAAUAGGAAGAAAUGCUCGUUCUGUAU
rnacentral:hammerhead_ribozyme from 1 species